UACAGAGGGGGCAAGCGUUGUUCGGAAUUACUGGGCGUAAAGGGUGCGUAGGUGGCCUGCUAAGUCGAAUGUGAAAUUUUUGGGCUCAAUUCGGGAACUGCGUCCGAGACUGGUUGGCUUGAAUCCGGGAGAGGGAUGCGGAAUUCCAGGUGUAGCGGUGAAAUGCGUAGAUAUCUGGAGGAACACCGGUGGCGAAGGCGGCAUCCUGGACCGGCAUUGACGCUGAGGCGCGAAAGCCAGGGGAGCAAACGGG
rnacentral:rRNA from 1 species